rnacentral:misc_RNA from 1 species
UCCGUUUUGUCAACGGCAGUCUCGCUAGAGUGCUCUUGCGUAGCAACUAACAAUAGGGGUUGCGCUCGUUGCGGGACUUAACCCAACAUCUCACGACACGAGCUGACGACAACCAUGCACCACCUGUCACCGGCGCUCCGAAGAGAAAGCCUAUCUCUAGGCCGGUCGCCGGGAUGUCAAGCCCUGGUAAGGUUCUUCGCGUUGCUUCGAAUUAAACCACAUACUCCACCGCUUGUGCGGGCCCCCGUCAAUUCCUUUGAGUUUCAACCUUGCGAUCGUACUCCCCAGGUGGGAUACUUAUUGUGUUAACUGCGGCACGGAGGGGGUCAGUCCCCCCACACCUAGUAUCCAUCGUUUACAGCGUGGACUAC